CACAGCGAGCAGUCCUCCUUAGACGAAAUUCAGCCCCGUGGCCAUUCUUCUUCUGUUUCUCAUGUUUAAGCCAAAGAUGGGGGUCAAUAAAAGCAGGAGACUUGACUUGCGUCAGUGCUGGGCUAAUCUGUAAAGUCACCUUGAAUCUAUCCUUCAGCUUUUCCAGCCUUGCUCAGUAAGAAGCUAAUACAAUAAAAUGCUUUCUUACUCUAACUUUAAUCUGAUUGAUUUUAUUUGAUAUCUUGUCUUAAGACAAAUAGAAAAUUUGAUUGUAAUAAACAUUGAUCGCCCAAUAA